GAUUAACGCUAGCGGCAGGCAUAAUACAUGCAAGUUGAAUGGCAGCACAGGUAGCAAUACUGGGUGGCGAGUGGCGCACGGGUGCGUAACACGUAUGCAACCUACCCUAUACAGGCGAAUAACCUUUAGAAAUGAGGGCUAAUACGCCGUAGUAUUACAGAUGGGCAUCUAUUUGUAAUUAAAGAUUUAUCGGUAUAGGAUGGGCAUGCGUCCCAUUAGUUAGUUGGUAAGGUAACGGCUUACCAAGACGAUGAUGGGUAGGGGAUCUGAGAGGACUUACCCCCACACUGGUACUGAGACACGGACCAGACUCCUACGGGAGGCAGCUGUAAGGAAUAUUGGGCAAUGGCCGCGAGGCUGACCCAGCCAUGCCGCGUGCAGGAAGACGGCCUUAUGGGUGGUAAACUGCUUUUAUACGGGAAUAAUAGAGUGUACGCGUACAUUUAUGCAAGUAUCGUAUGAAUAAGCAUCGGCUAACUCCGUG
rnacentral:rRNA from 1 species